AAGUGCAUCUUGGGAUUUCACUUUUGGGAUAACUGUGCAACUUGGAGAAACAUUCAACUUUGUGAUUCUCCUGAUGAGACCAGAACAGUUCAGGAUGGUGGUGGACUGCAGAUGCAAUGGAUUGAUAGAGUAACAUUGCUAACAUUACAUAAUAGACAAUUUCAAAGGACUGAUACUUGUUGCAUGAUCUGGAAUUAUCUGUCGAAGCAUUAAGUAGGCCCACCUUCUACACUUGAAAGCAAUAAAACAGACAUUUGGAGGAGGGAGAAGAUGAACAUACUACAGGGAUUUGUUCCAUACAGCACGGAGUGGGUAAACAUUAAUUGCACUGCUGAAUUUGAGGACACUGUUCCUCCUCUCUUGCAGCAACUUUGUGAUAUUGUGCCAAUUCCAGGUUUGAACUACUG